GUUGAGUGGCGGACGGGUGAGUAACACGUGGGUAACCUGCCUAAAAGAAGGGGAUAACACUUGGAAACAGGUGCUAAUACCGUAUAUCUCUAAGGAUCGCAUGAUCCUUAGAUGAAAGAUGGUUCUGCUAUCGCUUUUAGAUGGACCCGCGGCGUAUUAACUAGUUGGUGGGGUAACGGCCUACCAAGGUGAUGAUACGUAGCCGAACUGAGAGGUUGAUCGGCCACAUUGGGACUGAGACACGGCCCAAACUCCUACGGGAGGCAGCAGUAGGGAAUCUUCCACAAUGGACGCAAGUCUGAUGGAGCAACGCCGCGUGAGUGAAGAAGGUCUUCGGAUCGUAAAACUCUGUUGUUAGAGAAGAACACGAGUGAGAGUAACUGUUCAUUCGAUGACGGUAUCUAACC
rnacentral:rRNA from 1 species